UAUUUUAUAGAUGACAUCGCUGAAGUCGAGGAUCGGUAGGAUGGGAGUUAGCAUUUAGCAGGCAUUACUUCUAAACCUGAAAAGGGACAACUUCUACAUGCUAUUCAGAGAAAACAACCAAAUAUAUCCAAAUCAGACUUAAGUAACCACAUUGUGGGCCUGUUACAAUACAUAAAUCAUGAUGGAUUUGAUGAAUGUGCGCCAAUAUCUGCAUUCCCUUGACUCAUUUACCGCAUCUAUGCUGUGACCAAGGUGACUCCCUUCACUUAUCAAAGGCCCAGGAUGCUAAAGCAAGCAGAGAUCAAAACAAUAAGUUGCUGUUUUCUCUCUCUCUGCGUGCGUGUGUGUGUAAUAUGAGUGUUGCAGAUGCCUUAAGAUAGUAGUCUUAAUUGCAACCACAGUAGAUGCUAUAUGUGACUGAAUACAACACACAACGGCGCAGAUAUAUAGGCAUGAGAAAAUGCAUCCAAAGCGGUAAAUUCCACCUGUAAUGUACUGCAUAUGCAUUCACAGUGCAAGGAGAUAUCAGGAGUCUCUCUAGGUGGAGACAGAGGAGAAGACCCCUACAUUUAAAAGGAGUCUCUCAAGGAGAGGGGUUCAGUCUCUGAAAUUAGUCCUUCUGUGGACCAUGGAGCUAACAUGUGCGGUAUGUUUGAGUGUCUGUGUGUGCAGAUCUUUCAAGGAAAUCUUUCAAGGAACUCAGCGCAAUAACAUUGUCUAUGGACUUGUUGUCCUGAAGCCCAAUCGACAAGGAGAGACCAGAUUCACCUAUACCGAGCUGUGUGUCCGUGAAGAGUGACCAGUCCAUGAAGCUGCCAACUGAUUCAGGCAGCCAGCCUAUAAAACAAGGGGCCCAGCAGGGAAGAUCAGACUCACCUGAACCCAGCUGUGUGUCCAUGAAGAGUGACCAGUCUAUGAUACUGUCUAUAGAAUUCAGACAGAAAGCCUUCCCUACAAAACAAGGAUGUUCGAAGACCACAUUAUCUAUUUUGUGAAGAAAGAGAUGAAGAGGUUAAAAAUGUUUCUGAGUCCUGAUCUUCCAGAAUGCUUUGAGAGUCUGAGGGAGGAUGCAGAAAUGAUUGAAGAUGAGAAGCAGGAGAGCAUUUGCCAGAGAGGGGGCUCAGCAGAUCACACUGCAUUUCCUGUGGAACAUGAACCAGGAGCCAGCUGACAUAAUGGAGAAAGGCUGUUAAGAUGUAACUUGACAGAAAGAUGCUGUGACGAGCUGGCCUCAUUUCUCAGCUCAAACCCCUCACACUCGAGGCAGCUGGAUCCAAGGGACAACAACCUGCAGGAUUCAGGAUUGAAGCUGCUCUUUGCUGAACUCGAGUCCACUCUGUAAACCACUGAGCGAAGAUUGUCAUUCUGAAGAGUCGCAGAGGGAGGUUGUGCUUCGCUGGCCUCAGCUCGGAAGUCAAACCCUUCACAUAUGAGAGAGCUGGAUGUGAGCGACAAUAAUCCGGGAGACUCUGGAGGGAAGUUGGUCUCUACUAAACUGGAGAAACUAUUACCUGUGCACACUUUUAAGGAGAGGCUACCUGGUAGUAGUAAAGUGUUGUUCCAAUUGUAUUGAGCACCUAUAUUUGCCAUAAGUCUUUGAUAUUUCUACAUGGUGAUUAAGUUCCUAAUUUAUUAAUAAUAUAUUUAUUGGUCAUUACAGUAAUGAAAGUGACUAUAACAACAUCAUGAUGUGAAGGGAACUUUACAUAAAGCCUACAGGUUUAAUUCAUUAUGAUGCGGUUUUGUCAUAAGCAUGCAUGAACCCAUAUAAUGCCUAUAACAAUCUCAUAAUGAUUCUGACUAAAUACCAGACAUUUUCAGUCAAUGACUCAACGAUUUUCGACAUAGACAUAACUUAUUAUAAGCAUUUCAAUAGGACACUAUAAAGGCUUUUACAUGCUUAUAACAAGUAAUAAAGUACUAUACCUGGAGACUUGAAGUGUUACUGAUUUUUCUAUAAAUUUUCAGAUGCCUUUGAGGUCACACAGAACCAAAACACAGCCCUAUUGUGAUCACUCUAAGAUAUUUAAGCACAGGAGCCUGCUGAGGGGAGGACGGCUCAUAAUGGCUGGAACGGAGCAAAUGGAAUUACAUGGAAACUAUGUGUUUGAUGUCGUCCAUACCAUUCCACUGAUUCCGCUCCAGCCAUUACAACAAGCCCAUCUUUCCCAAUUAAGGUGCCACCAACCUCUUGAUUUUGAGGUGUGGCUACAGUUGCUGUGUAGACAAGGGCUGACCGGGUACUGUUACUGGGAGGCAAACUGGUGUGGGGAUAUGGGAUCUUGUAGGGGUGACAUAUAAAAUACUUAGUAGGAGAGGAUUUUGACUGUUUGCUUGGACACAAUGAUAAGUCAUGGAGUCUGCUGUGCUCUAACUACAUAUUUUUUUAUGGCACAACUAUAAGCAGACUACCAUACAUACACUAAGACUCUGUUGCAGGUAGGGGUAUCUGGGCUGGCUGGUCCUUCUACAGCGUCUCCACUGGCACACUUGUACACAUGUUGGCUCCACAUUCACUGAGCCUCUCUACUAAGGGUUUUAGGGUUGAUAAAGUAAUUUACUUUUUUUCAUGAUUGAAUUAUAUUCAAAGAAUCUCAAACAUACCCUGUGAUGUUGGAUUUACAGAUGUUCCUAUGUCUCACUUUAACCACUAGAAAUAAGUAUAUACUGUGAAAUGGAGAAAAACAAACAUUUGAAACGAGAAGGAUAAUGACACCUAUCACUUACUUGUAAAUGUUUAAUUGGCCAUUCAGGCAUAUGGUCAAAAAGUGGAGUUUUUCUUAUGGUUGUCACUGUAGAUAGGUUCUG